CAGUCGCCGCGGUAAUACGAAGGGGGCUAGCGUUGUUCGGAAUUACUGGGCGCAAAGCGCACGUAGGCGGAUCGAUCAGUCAGGGGUGAAAUCCCAGGGCUCAACCCUGGAACUGCCUUUGAUACUGUCGAUCUGGAGUAUGGAAGAGGUGAGUGGAAUUCCGAGUGUAGAGGUGAAAUUCGUAGAUAUUCGGAGGAACACCAGUGGCGAAGGCGGCUCACUGGUCCAUUACUGACGCUGAGGUGCGAAAGCGUGGGGAGCAAACAGGAUUAGAUACCCCCGUAGUCCCUGUCUCUUAUAC
rnacentral:rRNA from 1 species